rnacentral:lncRNA from 1 species
UGACCUGGGUCUCAUUGGCUAGGAGGUGAGGAGGUGGACGACAGGAGCAGCUAGCGCUUGUGCAGGGGAUGGGGGCGGGGAUGGCUGGCAUGGCUUGGCAUGGCUGGCGGGGCUGGGCAGGUGGGGGUGGGGGAGGAGCAAAGUGUGGACAGUGGUGGACCCUCUGGGCCUGCUGAGGGGGUGAGGCGCCAGCAGCUGCCCCAGCGUUUCCAACUUGCAGGAUCGUGCUGGAAAUAAACAGGAAAACGUCGUCACAUGGGGACUCACUCAUCACUAAAUCAAACACAUGUACCACCACACAAAUAUUCCGCGCACGGGCAAGACUCAAAAACUGGAGCACCUGAACUGUGAGGUGGAGACUAGGUAGAGAGAGAGACCCCGAGCCAGUGGCUCUUCUUCUGCAUCCCCUGGAUUGGACUCUGGUGCCCCCACUUUAGAGCUCUAUGCUUUAAGCCUUGGGGUGCUUCAAAGGCCUCCUGGACAUCUAUACGCUCCGGCCUCCCUGCAUUUGAUUAAAACGAAGACAGAAAACAUUAUCAACAUCAAAAGGUGCUCAUCUAAGAAGCUGGGAGUCGCAGGGUGACCAGCUCUCCCAAUUUGUCCAGAACCAGUAGUUUUCUGAGAUUUAGGAUCUUCAGUGCAAACCCCAGGACCGUCCUAGUUGAACUGGGUCACCCUAGUAGUUUGUGUACAAUCCCAGUUGGUAAAAGAUCUAAAGGAAUGUUUAGAAAAGGGGUAAGAAGCAGCCAGCGCUGUGGCAACACCCAAGAUCCCAGUUGCUCAGGAGGCUGAGGCAGGAGGAUCACAAGUUCUAGGCCAGCCUCAGCCACUUAGAGAGGCCCUAAGCAACUUAGUGAGACCCUGCCUCUAAAUAAAAAAAUUGAAGAAGGACUGGGGAUGUGGCUCAGUGGUUGCUGUUGCUGGGUUCAAUCCCCAACACACAAAAGAAGAAAGGCUCUCUGUCCAAAAUGUUAAGCUUGGUUAUCUCUGGGUG